CCCUUAGAUGUUCUGGGCUGCACGCGCGCGACAAUGACGUUUGCAACGAGAUUGCGAGGCCGUCAGGUCGAGCUGAUCUUGCAAGCUGCGUCGUGAUAGGGACAGUCGAUUGCAAUUAUUCGACUCGAACGAGGAAUUCCUUGUAAUCGCGCAUCAUCAGUGCGCGCUGAAUACGUCCCUGCCCUUUGUACACACCGCCCGUCGCUCCUACCGAUUGAGUGAUCCGGUGAGUGUUUUGGAUCGGCUUCAAGUUGGUUCGCGCCUCUUGCUUGCUGUGAAAUCAUGUAAACCUUAUUGCUUAGAGGAAGGAGAAGUCGUAACA
rnacentral:rRNA from 1 species